rnacentral:rRNA from 1 species
GAUGAACGCUGGCGGCGUGCCUAAUACAUGCAAGUCGAGCGAACAGACGAGGAGCUUGCUCCUCUGACGUUAGCGGCGGACGGGUGAGUAACACGUGGAUAACCUACCUAUAAGACUGGGAUAACUUCGGGAAACCGGAGCUACUACCGGAUAAUAUAUUGAACCGCAUGGUUCAAUAGUGAAAGACGGUUUUGCUGUCACUUAUAGCUGGAUCCGCGCCGCAUUAGCUAGUUGGUAAGGUAACGGCUUACCAAGGCAACGAUGCGUAGCCGACCUGAGAGGGUGAUCGGCCACACUGGAACUGAGACACGGUCCAGACUCCUACGGGAGGCAGCAGUAGGGAAUCUUCCGCAAUGGGCGAAAGCCUGACGGAGCAACGCCGCGUGAGUGAUGAAGGUCUUCGGAUCGUAAAACUCUGUUAUUAGGGAAGAACAAAUGUGUAAGUAACCAUGCACGUCUUGACGGUACCUAAUCAGAAAGCCACGGCUAACUACGUG